rnacentral:pre_miRNA from 1 species
AUUGGCACUCUUUUUCUUUUUGAAAAAUAAAAGAAUUUAAAAAGAAAAAGAAGUGCUAAUCC